rnacentral:rRNA from 1 species
UACGUAGGGUGCAAGCGUUGUCCGGAAUUAUUGGGCGUAAAGAGCUCGUAGGCGGUCUGUUGCGUCGGCUGUGAAAACCCGAGGCUCAACCUCGGGCCUGCAGCCGAUACGGGCAGACUAGAGUUCGGCAGGGGAGACUGGAAUUCCUGGUGUAGCGGUGAAAUGCGCAGAUAUCAGGAGGAACACCGGUGGCGAAGGCGGGUCUCUGGGCCGAUACUGACGCUGGAGGAGC